AUUGAACGCUGGCGGAAUGCUUUACACACGCAAGUCGAACGGCAGCACGGACUUCGGUCUGGUGGCGAGUGGCGAACGGGUGAGUAAUGUAUCGGAACGUGCCCAGUCGAGGGGGAUAACGUAGUGAAAAUUACGCUAAUAACGCAUACGAACUAUGGAUGAAAGCGGGGGAUCGCAAGAACUCGCGCGAUUGGAGCGGCCGAUAUCAGAGUAGGUAGUUGGUGGGGUAAAGGCCCACCAAGCCAACGAUCUGUAGCUGGUCUGAGAGGACGACCAGCCACACUGGAACUGAGACACGGGCCAGACUCCUACGGGAGGCAGCAGUGGGGAAUGUUGGACAAUGGGCGAAAGCCUGAGCCAGCCAUUCCGCGUGCAGGAUGAAGGCCCUCGGGUUGUAAACUGCUUUUGUACAGAACGAAAAGGUUUCUACUAAUACUAGGAGCUCAUGACGGUACUGUAAGAAUAAGCACCGGCUAACUACGUGCCAGCCGCCGCAGUAA
rnacentral:rRNA from 1 species